rnacentral:rRNA from 1 species
GCCAGACUCCUACGGGAGGCAGCAGUGGGGAAUAUUGCACAAUGGGGGAAACCCUGAUGCAGCAACGCCGCGUGGGUGAAGAAGUAUUUCGGUAUGUAAAGCUCUAUCAGCAGGGAAGAAGAUGACGGUACCUGAAUAAGAAGCCCCGGCUAACUACGUGCCAGCAGCCGCGGUAAUACGUAGGGGGCAAGCGUUAUCCGGAUUUACUGGGUGUAAAGGGAGCGCAGACGGCAGUGCAAGUCUGGAGUGAAAGCCCGGGGCCCAACCCCGGAACUGCUCUGGAAACUGUAUUUCUAGAGUGUCGGAGAGGCAAGUGGAAUUCCUGGUGUAGCGGUGAAAUGCGUAGAUAUCAGGAGGAACACCAGUGGCGAAGGCGGCUUGCUGGACGAUGACUGACGUUGAGGCUCGAAAGCGUGGGGAGCAAACAGGAUUAGAUACCCCAGUA